GAAUUGACGGACCCGCACAAGCAGCGGAGCGUGUGGUUUAAUUCGAGGCUACACGAAGAACCUUACAGGUUGACAUGCAAGUGGUAGGAAUCCGAAAGUGACCGACCCUUCGGGGAGCUUGCACAGGUGCUGCAUGGCUGUCGUCAGCUCGUGUCGUGAGAUGUUCGGUUAAGUCCGCUAACGAGCGCAACCCUCGUCGUGUGUUAUACGUGUCACACGAUACUGCCGGUAUCAAGCCGGAGGAAGGUGGGGAUGAUGUCAGGUCAGCAUGGCCUUUAUAUCCUGGGCUACACACACGCUACAAUGGCAGAUACAAUAGGUUGCGAAACCGCGAGGUGGAGCCAAUCCUCAAAGUCUGUCUCAGUUCAGAUUGUAGGCUGCAACUCGCCUGCAUGAAGUUGGAGUUGCUAGUAAACGCAGGUCAGCUAUACUGCGUUGAAUACGUUCCCGGGGUUU
rnacentral:rRNA from 1 species